CGCUUUUGGAAGCAGUAAGUCCAGCCCGAGGCUAAGGUGAGAGCGUCUGCCGGGACAGUGUGGCUGGACCCACGUGGCAGGUGUUAACCACCGAAGGGAGGUAGAAUGUUUUUCCCCACCAGAGGAGGCAGCGACCACGUCUCCUCUAUGGAGGCAUUCAAGAGCCGUCCAGCUGAAGCAGCAUCACUGUCUGAGCUCGGAAGGCACAAUCCACAUAGGUCUGCAUGGUCCACCGAGCUGCAUACCCACGGGGCCAGCGGGAGGUGGGCAGCUGCUGGGCUCUCUUCUGAAGCAGACAGGAUCUCACUCUGUUGCUGAGGCUGGAUCACAGCUCCCUGCAACCUUGAACUCUCCCUCAAGCAAUUCUCCCCACUCUGCCUUCCAAAGCACUAGCAUUAUAGGCCUAAGCCACCACUCCCAUCCACUGUAGUGUAAACUGUCUCCUUCAAUGUUUCCAAUAGUUGCGGAGCAGAUCAGAUAAGGGUUCUUCCUGUCUGUUGCUUCAAGUUUCAUUCUCUCUUUAAACAAUACAAGGUUGGCUUCCAUGGUUCCUUCUUAAAGAAUGUUGAAGGUGUGUCUUCAGAUUCAUUUAGUGUUCGUGGAACCCCAGGGAAAGCUGAUGUAAAAACCUCUUUUUUCUCCCAUAUGUCUCAAAAAGUUGUAUUUUCUGGGUCCAAGGGAUCUGCAAGCCUCCUAAAGGCAUUUCCAUUGUCACUACCACCAGGUGUGAACUGUAAUCUGGCACGUAUAGUUCCAAGAACUGUCAUAAUAGAUGCUGAAGAAACAUUGUGAAGUUAACUCGCUGUUACCAACUGUGAAGUCAUUAGCUAGAGGAAUCUUGGGCGGUCUGAAAUCUGAGAUACUGUGGAAAGAACAGAAAGAUCCUGUAUCUUUCCUAUAAUUGUUCUACUGGAAGUUGUCAUUUUACACAGGAGACAUUCUGUUUUAUUUAUUUUCUUUUGAGACAGGGUCUCACUCUGUCGCCCAGGCUGGAGUGCAGUGUUGUUACCACAGGUCACUGGUGCCUCCACUGCCUGAGGACUGCUCAAGCAAUCCUCCUGCCUCAGUCCCCUGAGGAGCUGGGGCCACAGGCCUGCACCACCAUGCCUGGCUAAUUAUUUUUAUUUGUAGAGACAAAGUCUAUCUUGCCUAGGCUGAUCUCGAACUCCUGGGCUCAAGUAAUCCUCCCGCGGUGGCUUCUCAAAGUGCUUGGGAUUACAGAUGGUCUUGCUCUGUCACCCAGUCUGGAAUGCAGUGGUGCCAUCAUAGCUCACUACAGCCUGAGCUGUACUGAGCUCGAGGGAUCUUCCCGUCUCCGCCUCCUAAGCAGCUGGGACUACAGGUACUUGCCCCCAGGCCCAGAUAAUUUAUUUAAAAACUUUUUUUGUAGAGACAGGGUCUCACUAUGUUGCCCAGGCUGGUCUCAAACUCCUGGCCUCAAACAAUCCUCUACCUCAACCCCCCUAAGUGCUGGCAUUACAGGCAUCAGCUGCCAUGCCUGGCUACAAAUCUUAAUGUUUUCCCCAUGGCUUCUUUUUCUGGCGUUCUUUUCUCAGGUAAUGGAAGUGGGCAGAGAAUGAUCCUUUCCCUAGGCUCCAGUGUGUAAGAAUUAAAGAAAGAGGAAAGAAACACAAUGGCUUGAUGGUCGAGGACAGGUUUAUUUUAAAGAAAACAAACCCAAGAGUGGCUUCUGGCUGAGUUAGAUCAGAGAAGAGAAGUGAUUUUCUUGAAAUGCAUGAGGCUGGAAAGGGAGCUGGCACUUAAAGUGGCGGUGUUUGUCCGAGAGGAUGGUGCUCCUGCUCUGUCACAGUGGGCAUGGGGAUUCAGGCCACUGCCACCGAAUUUCAAGAGCCCAAGCACAGAGCCCAGAACUAAAUUGUGAGGGUUUAAAAAAAAAAAAAGCUUUAUUGAAGUAUAAUUGACAUACAAUAAACUUGAAUAUUUAAAGUGUACAAUUUAUGCGUUUGGGCAUUUGUAUAUACCCCUGCAACCAUCAGCACACUGAAGAUAAGGAAUAUACCCAUUACCCCUGAAAAUUUCCCCAUGCCCUUUGGAGCCCCUCCCUUCAACCCCUCAAAUACUUAAUGCGCUUUUUCCCGAAAGGCAAGAAGAAAGCUUCCCUACACAUUUAUCAAGGCUGUUAUAAUCCUGACUCCCAAACAAGGUAAGGAAAUUGUUAGACACUUAGAGAACACUUUCAACUAUUGUAUUCAGAUGUUAAAAUCCUCAGUAAAAUUCCCAUAACAGUUAAUUGAACAAACCAAUUAUGCAAAAACAUACAAUCAACUAUAAUUGCACCCUAUAGACUCCCCUUUUUAUUCUCUAAUGUGUUAUAUUCCACUAAAUCUUUCUUCAUCUUGCCAGUUUUUCUUCUAAUUUCCCUGCAGCUAUAAUUUUGGCUGAUGCUAUAGUUUGAAUAUUUGACCCUCCAAACCUCAUGUUGAAAUUUAGUCCCCAGUGUUGGAGGUGGGGCCUGGUGGAAGGUGUUUGGGUCAUGGGGGUGGAUCACUCAUGAACGGCUUGGUGCUGUUCUCAUGGCAAUGAGUGAGUUCUCACAUAAUCAGUUCCCUCCAGAGCUGGUUAUUAAAGAGAGCCUGGCAUCUCCCCUCUGUCUCUCUUGCUUCCUGUCUCAUCAUGUAAUGUCUGCACACACUGGCUCCCCUUCUGCCAUGAGUGGAAACUCCUGGAAGCCCUCACCAGAAGUAGAUGCUGUUGCCAGCAGAACCACGAGUCAAAUAAACCUAUUUUUAUAAAUUACCCAGCCUCAGGUAUUCCUUUAGAGCAACACAUAUGGACUAAGACAGUGAUGUUCUCAAUUUACCCUGACAUUGCAUGCAGGCCGGCUGUUUCCUCUUAAGUUCCCGGAGUGGGAAUGUGUUCCGGACAAAGGAUGCUAGUGAGUGGCAGUC
rnacentral:lncRNA from 1 species